UGGGGAAUUUUGGACAAUGGGGGAAACCCUGAUCCAGCCAUCCCGCGUGUGCGAUGAAGGCCUUCGGGUUGUAAAGCACUUUUGGCAGGAAAGAAACGUCGCGGGUUAAUACCCCGCGAAACUGACGGUACCUGCAGAAUAAGCACCGGCUAACUACGUGCCAGCAGCCGCGGUAAUACGUAGGGUGCAAGCGUUAAUCGGAAUUACUGGGCGUAAAGCGUGCGCAGGCGGUUCGGAAAGAAAGAUGUGAAAUCCCAGAGCUUAACUUUGGAACUGCAUUUUUAACUACCGGGCUAGAGUGUGUCAGAGGGAGGUGGAAUUCCGCGUGUAGCAGUGAAAUGCGUAGAUAUGCGGAGGAACACCGAUGGCGAAGGCAGCCUCCUGGGAUAACACUGACGCUCAUGCACGAAAGCGUGGGGAGCAAACAGGAUUAGAUACCCUGGUAGUCCACGCCCUAAACGAUGUCAACUAGCUGUUGGAGCCUUCGGGCCUUGGUAGCGCAGCUAACGCGUGAAGUUGACCGCCUGGGGAGUACGGUCGCAAGAUUAAAACUUAAAGGAAUUGACGGGGGUGCAUGCUG
rnacentral:rRNA from 1 species